rnacentral:rRNA from 1 species
GACGAACCGAGCGAACGUUGUUCGGAAUCACUGGGCUUAAAGGGCGCGUAGGCGGGUCAGCAAGUCCGGGGUGAAAUCUUUCGGCUUAACCGGAAAAGUGCCUUGGAGACUGCUGAUCUUGAGGGAGGUGAGGGGCAUGUGGAACUUCCGGUGGAGCGGUGAAAUGCGUUGAUAUCGGAAGGAACGCCGGUGGCGAAAGCGACGUGCUGGCCCUCUUCUGACGCUGGAGGAGCGAAAGCGUGGGGAGCGAAACAGG